CCUACGGAGAGCUGCAGUGGGCAAUAUUGGACAAUGGGCGAAAGCCUGAUCCAGCCAUGCCGCGUGUGUGAAGAAGGCCUUCGGGUUGUAAAGCACUUUCAGUGGGGAAGAAAGCCUUGGGGCUAAUACCCUCGAGGAAGGACAUCACCCACAGAAGAAGCACCGGCUAACUCCGUGCCAGCAGCCGCGGUAAUACGGAGGGUGCGAGCGUUAAUCGGAAUUACUGGGCGUAAAGCGCGCGUAGGCGGUCUGAUAAGCCGGUUGUGAAAGCCCCGGGCUCAACCUGGGAACGGCAUCCGGAACUGUCAGGCUAGAGUGCAGGAGAGGAAGGUAGAAUUCCCGGUGUAGCGGUGAAAUGCGUAGAGAUCGGGAGGAAUACCAGUGGCGAAGGCGGCCUUCUGGACUGACACUGACGCUGAGGUGCGAAAGCGUGGGUAGCAAACAGGAUUAGAUACCCCAGUAGC
rnacentral:rRNA from 1 species